rnacentral:lncRNA from 1 species
CCCACUUGUAGCAGAUUGCAGGAACCACACAACUUAAACAAAAACACUGUCGACUGAACAGGUACAAAAGGACGCCAUGCGCAAAACGUGAGGAGAAAGAUGGGAACAGUGUUUGGAGAAUGAAAGACCACACACACACACACACACACACACACACACUUACAAAGCAGGUCCUCAACAAAAGGCUCCCCUAAAUUGACUAUUGAUCUGCAAAGCUAAAGGAUUCACCCCGUUUAUGUAGAAGAGACAGUUAGAG